rnacentral:rRNA from 1 species
CCUACGGGAGGCAGCAGUGAGGAAUAUUGGUCAAUGGACGAGAGUCUGAACCAGCCAAGUAGCGUGAAGGAUGACUGCCCUAUGGGUUGUAAACUUCUUUUAUAUGGGAAUAAAAUGUUCCACGUGUGGGAUUUUGUAUGUACCAUAUGAAUAAGGAUCGGCUAACUCCGUGCCAGCAGCCGCGGUAAUACGGAGGAUCCGAGCGUUAUCCGGAUUUAUUGGGUUUAAAGGGAGCGUAGGUGGAUUGUUAAGUCAGUUGUGAAAGUGUGCGGCUCAACCGUAGAAUUGCAGUGGAAACUGGCAGUCGUGAGUACAGUAGAGGUGGGCGGAAUUCGUGGUGUAGCGGUGAAAUGCUUAGAUAUCACGAAGAACUCCGAUUGCGAAGGCAGCUCACUGGACUGCAACUGACACUGAGGCUCGAAAGUGUGGGUAUCAAACAGGAUUAGAUACCCUUGUAGUC